rnacentral:rRNA from 1 species
UACGUAGGGGGCUAGCGUUAUCCGGAUUUACUGGGCGUAAAGGGUGCGUAGGUGGUUUUUUAAGUCAGGAGUGAAAGGCUACGGCUCAACCGUAGUAAGCUCUUGAAACUGAGAAACUUGAGUGCAGGAGAGGAAAGUGGAAUUCCUAGUGUAGCGGUGAAAUGCGUAGAUAUUAGGAGGAACACCAGUAGCGAAGGCGGCUUUCUGGACUGUAACUGACACUGAGGCACGAAAGCGUGGGGAGCAAACAGG